rnacentral:rRNA from 1 species
AGCAGCCGCGGUAAUUCCAGCUCCAAUAGCGUAUAUUAAAGUUGUUGCAGUUAAAAAGCUCGUAGUUGAAUUUCGGAAUUUGUCGGUUGGUCGGGCUUCACUGUCCGCACUGACCUGAUGAAUUCCUACCUUCUGAAUAACCUUCAUGCUAUUAAGUUAGUGCGUUGGGGAAGCAGAGCUAUUACCUUGAAAAAUUAGAGUGCUUAAAGCAGGCUUAUGCUUGAAUAGAUUAGCAUGGAAUAAUAAAAUAGGACGGCAUGGUUCUAUUUUGUUGGUUUCUAGGAUCACCGUAAUGAUUAAUAGGGAUAGUUGGGGGCAUUAGUAUUCAAUUGUCAGAGGUGAAAUUCUUGGAUUUAUUGAAGACUAACUUCUGCGAAAGCAUUUGCCAAGGAUGUUUUCAUUAAUCAAGAACGAAAGUUAGGGGAUCGAAGACGAUCAGAUACCGUCGCAGUCUUAACCAUAAACUAUGCCGACUAGGGAUCGGACGAUGUUAAUUUUAAUGUACUCGUUC